rnacentral:pre_miRNA from 1 species
AUCAUCAGAGUGGAUGUGGUGUGUUGUUUAUGAUAUCGUAUCACAGCCAGCUUUGAUGAGCG